GGGUUGUGAGGUUAAGCGACUAAGCGUACACGGUGGAUGCCCUGGCAGUCAGAGGCGAUGAAGGACGUGCUAAUCUGCGAAAAGCGCCGGCGAGGUGAUAUGAACCUUUGACCCGGCGAUGUCCGAAUGGGGAAACCCAGUGCAAUCCGUUGCACUAUCGUUAACUGAAUACAUAGGUUAACGAGGCGAACCGGGGGAACUGAAACAUCUAAGUACCCCGAGGAAAAGAAAUCAACCGAGAUUCCCCCAGUAGCGGCGAGCGAACGGGGAGCAGCCCGGAGUCUGAAUCAGCUUG
rnacentral:rRNA from 1 species